rnacentral:lncRNA from 1 species
GCCGACUGCCCAAGCAUCUGCCGAAACCCAACAGCCGGAACGGAGGGAGAAGGCGGCAAACUCUCAUCGUCUCGCCGCAUCAGAAUAGCCACGACGCCGGCCGAAGAAAGAGGAGCCGACCGGAGUUGAGAAGGGAGGGCCGAUCGUAUUUUGAAGGAGAACGCCCGGUUUGAAACUUCAGGGGGGUGGGCUAGGGCUUUCGAUUUCCCAUUCACGAUGGGGACGAAGAAAGAGAGGCGGGCGCGACCGGCGCCGGCUGAUUCGCCGGAUUCCAGGCAAAGGCGUGACAGCGGCGGCGACCUACCAGAUUAGUCUAGGGCUCGAUUUUGGGCUAUGCGAUGAAGGUAGAGGACAGCGCCGGGGUUAGACGCUUCAAUAGCCAACGCCGGUGGUGGCAGGCGACAGCUGGCUGGCCGGAGAAGAAGAGGCCGAGCGUCGGCCUUGAGAAAAAAGGAAGAGAGAGCUUCGGCCUUUGA